UGAGGAAUAUUGGUCAAUGGGAGAGAUCCUGAACCAGCCAAGCCGCGUGAGGGAGGACGGCCCUACGGGUUGUAAACCUCUUUUGCCGGGGAGCAACGGGCGUCACGUGUGGCGCCACUGAGAGUACCCGGAGAAAAGCAUCGGCUAACUCCGUGCC
rnacentral:rRNA from 1 species